rnacentral:rRNA from 1 species
ACGUAGGGGGCCAGCGUUGUCCGAAGUUACUGGGCGUAAAGAGCGCGUAGGCGGGUCUUUAAGUGAGGGGUGAAAGGUUUGGGCUCAACCCAGACACUGCCUUUCAUACUGGGGACCUUGAGUAUGGGAGAGGCGAGUGGAAUUCUUGGUGUAGCGGUGAAAUGCGUAGAUAUCAAGAGGAACACCCAUGGCGAAGGCAGCUCGCUGGCCUAUAACUGACGCUGAGGCGCGAAAGCUGGGGGAGCAAACAGGAUUAGAUACCCUGGUAGUCCCAGCCGUAAACGAUGAAUACUAGGUGUCAGGGGUAUCGACCCCCCUGGUGCCGCAGCUAACGCAAUAAGUAUUCCGCCUGGGGAGUACGGCCGCAAGGUUG